GUAUGUUGUCUUUUCCAUCUAUGUAUGAGCAGGAAAUUUUGUAUGAUAGACUUAAAAUUUUCCCAAAUUGACUUUGAUAGAUUUUUUGGGAUGAAAAUGGAGAACUAGGCUCUUUAUUGUAGCUUGACUAGUCUACAAUUGAUUGUUGAAUUAAUUCCUUGAAUAUUUUGGGGGAGAUUUGAAUGGAAAUGUGAGUAGUAGUAUUGACAGUUUUGUUAUGGAGGGUUUGGAUAUGGGAGUAAGAACGGGGAAGGGAAGAACAUUCUAGAAUUUACUUUGGCUUAUGAUCUGGUUAUAGUAGACAUCUUUUUCAAGAAAAGGGAAUCAUGUAGCCAAAUAGACUAUGUAAAAAUUGCAAAGUUAUCCCUAGUGAAACUCUAACUGCUCAGCAUAGGCUAGUUGUUUGAUGUGAAGUUAAAGAGCAAAGUGAAGAAAGAAAAGGAAUUUAUGCAAUCUGGUACUCGAUGGUGGAACCUAAAAGGCAUGAAUUAAAUGGCUUUUAGGGAGAAACUCUUAAUAGAAGGUAUAUUGAAUUUAGUCGAUAACGUUGAAUUUAGUCAAUAACGUUGAUGCUGCAUGGAUGGUGAUGGCAAGCUGCAUUAAGAAAGUAGCAAUAGAUAUAC
rnacentral:misc_RNA from 1 species